AUUGAACGCUGGCGGCAGGCUUAACACAUGCAAGUCGAACGAGUGGCGGACGGGUGAGUGAGGCUUGAACAUCUAGCUUAUGGAGCGGGCUAACUACGGGAAACUGUAGCUAAUACCGCGUACCAUAGGAUGAGCCCAAGUGGGAUUAGGUAGUUGGUGAGGUAAAGGCUCACCAAGCCGCAGAUCUCUAGCUGGUCUGAGAGGAUGACCACCCACACUGGGACUGAGACACGCCCCAGCCCCUUACGGGGGGCAGCAGUGGGGAAUAUUGCGCAUUGGGGGCAACCUGCCGCAGCCAGGCCGCGUAAUGAAAGAAGUCCUUCGGGUUGUAAACUUCUUUCGUUGUCGAGGCGUUUCCUACAGAAGAACCACCGGCUAAUUCCGUGCCAGCGGCCGCGUUAUUC
rnacentral:rRNA from 1 species